GGCCCUAUAACUCAAUAGGUCAGAGUAAGCAACUCAUAAUUGUUAAGUUGCACGUUCGAAUCGUGCUGGGGCCA
rnacentral:tRNA from 1 species